GAUGAACGCUGGCGGCGUGCCUAAUACAUGCAAGUCGAGCGAACAGAUGAGGAGCUUGCUCCUCUGACGUUAGCGGCGGACGGGUGAGUAACACGUGGAUAACCUACCUAUAAGACUGGGAUAACUUCGGGAAACCGGAGCUAAUACCGGAUAAUAUAUUGAACCGCAUGGUUCAAUAGUGAAAGACGGUUUUGCUGUCACUUAUAGAUGGAUCCGCGCCGCAUUAGCUAGUUGGUAAGGUAACGGCUUACCAAGGCAACGAUGCGUAGCCGACCUGAGAGGGUGAUCGGCCACACUGGAACUGAGACACGGUCCAGACUCCUACGGGAGGCAGCAGUAGGGAAUCUUCCGCAAUGGGCGAAAGCCUUACGGAGCAACGCCGCGUGAGUGAUAAAGGUCUUCGGAUCGUAAAACUCUGUUAUUAGGGAAGAACAAAUGUGUAAGUAACUAUGCACGUCUUGACGGUACCUAAUCAGAAAGCCACGGCUAACUACGUG
rnacentral:rRNA from 1 species